rnacentral:rRNA from 1 species
UACAGAGGUGGCAAGCGUUGUUCGGAAUUACUGGGCGUAAAGGGCGCGUAGGCGGCCAUCUAAGUCAGACGUGAAAUCCCCCGGCUUAACCUGGGAACUGCGUCUGAUACUGGAAGGCUCGAGUUUGGGAGAGGGAUGUGGAAUUCCAGGUGUAGCGGUGAAAUGCGUAGAUAUCUGGAGGAACACCGGUGGCGAAGGCGGCAUCCUGGACCGACACUGACGCUGAGGCGCGAAAGCCAGGGGAGCAAACGGG